UAAAAUUUCGAGGAUGAAAUUUUUAUAAGAGGAGAAGAUUGUAACGUCCUAUAAUUUUUUUUUAAAAAAAAAAGAUCAGAUAUUUUUGGUUUCACACGUGCCAAGCCCCACCUAACCCCACUACCCACCUCACAAUCACUCUAUCUUUUCAUUCCUUGGCCGGCUCACUCCCUCACUUCUCUUUUCUUUCUUUUUCUUCUCUUUCAUUUUCGGUAGAACACUCUUUGCUCUCAUCCUCUCCACCGGCACUUCCACACCACCACCAUCACCAUUUCCACCAUCAUUUUUCCGGCAAGAUCACCGGAAAAUUUUUGGAAACCCAUAAACACCUUCACAUCUUUUUUUUGAGGUUCUAGCUAAUCUCCUUGGAGCUUGGAGAAUUAGGAUUUUGCGGUUGCGAGUCUUUGUGACAACGGAAUCAAAUCUAGGUCAGUGCUCUUUCACUUUGGAUGACGCGUUCUUCCCUGCUGUCCAUGGGGGGAAGAGGUUCCUUAAAUGUGUAUGGGUAAGGCUACUGCCCAUGGGGCCAAGAGACCACAUGCAAGAGAGGUCCUAUUUGACGCGCUCUCUCUGCUACCCAUGGGGGGAAAGAAAACCUUGAGGGUAUGGGUGAGGCUAUUAUCCAUGGGGCCAAGAGUCUGCAUACCAGAGAGGACAAUAUCAUGCCAAUUGUGAAUGGGUGGAUCCCUUGACCAAUUUAUGUGGUAGUAUGGUAUAUUUAUGAUAAAUUACUGUAUGUUAGAUUUUAUGGCUUUCGAAAUUAUAUUGUUAGUGCUCACAGAUUAUAGUAUAUAGUUUCAAGGUAUUUAUUUUGAGAAACUUUGUGUUUCAUUAUUAAAUCAUUCUUGUCAUAUUAUUAUUAUUGAAAAUGAAACUUGCAUUUCCCCCACCCCCAUUAAAUAUACUACUUACUGGGCUCUAUCUCAUCCCAUUAUUUUAUAAACUUUUUAAAGUAGGCAACAAUAUUUUGAGACAGCUUUUUGGUGGCUAAUAGUAGUUAGACUAACUACUGAUGGAGGCUAAACUUUUGUAAUGGAGAUAUUAGAUGUUGUACAUCUUAGAAUAGGCUUGACACAUUCUUUUGUAUAUUAUAGUAGUUGUAACUUUAUUUCCACUGAUGGGACAAGCUAUUGAUAUGUAAUUAUUUAUUCAGACCUCUAUUAUUUUGUGGCCAGUGGUCAUUGUAAUUAAUGCUUAGAGCUUUGACUUACUUUGAGAGUAUAUUCAAUGGAAUUAUAAUGAUAAUUCUUGAUAUUAGAACUUGAUAUAAUUUUUGUAGAUUGGAUUGUCUUAAAGGAAAGAAAGAAAAAAAAAUCUACAGGUACUUUAAGAUGUGAUUUCUCAUGUCGUGGACCCUUUUGGGUUUAAGGCGUGACAAUAUUACUACUGCUAUAUUAUCUGUUUUACAAUCUGGUCAUUUUUUGCAUAAAAUGAAUUACACCCAUAUUGUACUUAUCCCCCCCCCCCCCC